rnacentral:rRNA from 1 species
UACGUAGGGGGCAAGCGUUGUCCGGAUUUAUUGGGCGUAAAGAGCUCGUAGGUGGUUCGGUAAGUCGGAUGUGAAAUCUCCAGGCUCAACCUGGAGGGGUCAUUCGAUACUGCCGUGACUAGAGGUCGGUAGGGGAGUGUGGAAUUCCUGGUGGAGCGGUGAAAUGCGCAGAUAUCAGGAGGAACACCCGGUAGCGAAGGCGGCACUCUGGGCCGAUACUGGACACUGAGGAGCGAAAGCGUGGGGAGCGAACAGG